AUCCUUUUGUAGUUCAUGAGCAAGAUGAUUGGGUGAUCACGCACAUGUGUGAGACGUGCCAUCCUCAAACCUUGUUACAACAUUGGCAUAUUACCCAUCUGAUA
ensembl:snoRNA